AGUCUCCAAGGCGGUAUCAUGAGGUAGGCGGUGGGUGGAAGACUUGCAGGUAUGCCUUCCACUUGGCACAACUGCGUUCAUGGUCUUGAGAACCUUUGGCAUUUCCAGGUUUAAUUAGCAAGCUUUUCUUUCAUUCUUGAGUUUUGAAUAUCUCAAGCAGACCGGUGGAAAUAGAAACCCUAAGGCUCCUUAUCUAUACUUUAGAACCCUGAAAUUAAAGAAAUGACACAGAAGGCUAAUCUCUUCAAAAGGGCAGAAGAAGAACAAGAAGUCCAUACCUCCCAACCGCCAUGGCAAACCCCCUCAUUCUCGCAAAGGCAAGAGAUUCAUGAAGCCAUCGAAAAUCACUGGGGCAUGGAUGCUGACCGUGUAAGUUCUUAAUGAGUUAUCUUUGAGAAUUUCUCCUGUAAUUAAUUUGAAGUUCUUAAGUUGGGAGUUUGAUAUGAAUUGUGUCACAAGAGGAUGCUGAAAGAGGGUUUAGAUAUAAACUAGUAAGUCUGUCUCUCAAAAGGAUAUAAACAAAAGUGAAACUAUCCUUGGAAACUCUACUCCUGGUUAAUGGAGAUUCUGCAAACUAAUUCCCAAUCCAACAUGGGGGGUGAGAGUUUAUGUUGAUACCAACCAGACAUAGAUCAAAGUGGUGAAUGGAUUUUGGAACUGGUUGGUGGUCCUCCUUUUGUCCCAUGUAGUUUGUUUUUCUUUCCAAAUUAAUAUUUUCUUUUUGAUGACUUGAGGAGCUGACCAAGUUCAUAAACUACUGUAAUGAAGUGAAAGCUGCAACUGCUGCUAACAAAGAAGGUGGGCAGCUUGGCAUUGUAAAAACAACACCAGAGUCCAAAUGUGAUGUAAAUAAAUAGCAAAUGCUUAGAUGAGGUAUUAUUGUCCAUAUAGAGUUGUAUACUAGUUUCCAUGUCUUGAGUUGGAAGUUUUUGUGUCUUUAACACCUGCAAGUAAAGUUGAGUGUCUGUGUUUUUAAAACAAAAAUGGAAUUUCAUGACUUACCUUUGGGUUGGAGCAAAUAGAAUAGAUAUUCUGAUCAUUGUUU